rnacentral:rRNA from 1 species
GACGAACGCUGGCGGCGUGCUUAACACAUGCAAGUCGAGCGGAGCGGCGAACGGGUGAGUAACGCGAGAGUAACUGCCCCCCUCUCUGGUAUAACAGUUGGAAACGGCUGCUAAUACCGGAACGUGGGGAGGGACUCGCGGCCUGCCCGUGUGUUGGGGGGGUAGUUGCCGUCCAAGGCGACGACGGGUGGCCGGCCUGGGCGGGCGGACGGCCACAUUGGGCUGAGAUACGGCCCUAACCCCUACGGGAGGCAGCAGUGGGGAAUAGUGCACAAUGGGGGAAACCAUGAUGCAGCAGCGCCGCGUGCGGGAUGACGGCCUUCGGGUUGUAAACCGCUUUCAGCCAUGACGCGGUAGUGGCAGAAGAAGCACCGGCUAACUACGUGCCAGCAGCCGCGGUAAUUC